CAGAGACAACGGGCUGCCUCGCUAAACGAUGCACACCUGUAACUCACGUGACCCUGGUUAUUAUUGAAACGAGAACGAGGGCGUCGUGCCUUUAUAAGACUGCGUUAAUGGUUCCGUGGAGUUAUCCCUUCCGUUGUUGUUUAUUGAUUGUUAAACAUGGCUUCAUUUACAAAGGUGGUUGUGUGUGUCCUCAUUGCUUGUGUCUGUAAUGCAUUCGGUUUUCCGAAGAGAGAUGUGAACUUUAAGGCCUCUGCAGUUGACCGCCAAAGUGAUGAUGUGGUUGUCACCACAACAGCCGUUCCCCACAACCAGACCACCUCUGCCCCUACUGAAGCUGGUGAUGGAGCAAGUGAAGAUGCUGUGGCUACUACCCCAGCACCUAAUCCACACAACCAGACAACUUCUGCACAAACUGAAGUUACUGAUGGGGCCAGUGAAGAUGCUGUGGACCGCCAAAGUGAUGAUGUGGUUGUCGCCACAACACCCAAUCCCCACAACCAGACCACAUCUGCCCCUACUGAAGCUGAUGGAGCAGGUGAAGAUGAUUCAGAUGAUGAUGAUGAUGCAGAUGAUGAUGCAAGUGACGAUGAUGCAGAUGAUGAUGAUGCAAGUGAUGAUGCUGUGGCUACCACCCCAACACCAAAUCCACCAACUACAUCUGACCGCACUGCAGCUACCGAUGAUGCAAGUGAGGGUGCUGUGGCUGCCCACACUGGAACUACUGUAUCCCAUACGACUGAAGUCUGAUUCGACUGCUCCUCUGGUCACAAUGACCUGUCUGGACUUUUUGCCUCUACAUGUUGACUGCAAUAAAGGACAGAUUUGUAUUUUUUAAUCAAAUGUUGUCUUGCCUUUUUCAAAUUGAGGCCUUGUCCUGUUUUGGUAGUGGAGAUGACUAUGAAG
ensembl:lncRNA